rnacentral:rRNA from 1 species
CAAUAGCGUAUAUUAAAGUUGUUGCGGUUAAAAAGCUCGUAGUUGGAAUUUGGCAGUUCCGGAUGUGUGCACGUCGUGUGCGCACUUCGCGGGGAUUGCUUUUGUGGUCUUGCGUAGGAUGAGGCACUUUUAUUAGUGAACGUCCUCACGCAACCACUUUUUACUGUGAGAAAAUCAGAGUGCUCAAAGCAGGCAUUUGCCGUGAAUGUAUUAGCAUGGAAUAAUAGAAUAGGACUUGGUUCUAUUUUGUUGGUUUGUUGGGACUGAGUAAUGAUUAAGAGGGACAGUUGGGGGCAUUUGUAUUUCGGUGCUAGAGGUGAAAUUCUUAGAUUACCGAAAGACAAACUGCUGCGAAAGCGUCUGCCAAGGAUGUUUUCAUUGA